UGGCCGAGCCACACCCUCUUACUUGUAAAUCAGUUUCCAGUAUACACCCAGUCUCACCUGCAAGGGUGUGGGGGGGCUUCUAAUACAACCGAGCAUAAUCUAACAAGUAUCCAAUAUUACACAUUUCAUACAAGGAAGGCGCGAAUUAUGUUUACUACACAUAACAUGUUGGUAACUUUGCUUAUAGUUUCAUUGCAUUUCUUCUGCUCUUGGAAACUCACGGUCCUGUCUCAAUCCUCAUUUAAAGAAUCCUCUCAGUCUGCCUCUUUAUCAUAUACAUAACCCUUCCACAACACCACACACUACUAUGAUUUCACAACAACCAAAAGCUUUUGACAGUGUUUUCCAUAAAUGGGGUUUCCCAGCCACUUGUCUAAGUCAGCACUCAAAUAUAGCUCUAGUAUUGCACCACACUACACUUCCUAAUUAUUGCAGAAGAAAACUUGAGAACACAACUGAUCUGAACACCAGAAUUUUAUACUCAUAAUACAUUCAUUGUCUAUUACUCCAACAGUUUACAGUACAAGAAAGCUACAAAAGCAGCAUAGUCCAGUACUCAAGUAUUCCUCUAAAGGGGACAGAGAAGUCAGUGUGGCCACUGUACAUCACAAUCUCCAAUUGUCAAACUGCUUUUUUGGUGGCAUAAUUAAAAUUAUUGAGGCCCGGUGUGUCCUUCCACUGGCUAGAGACCAAGAAAUGGAAGAAUGAAAGAUAAGAUCUACCUUUGCCUGACUUCAUCCGGAUUUAAGGAUCAAGCACGGAGAUUCAUCAUCUAAAAGCAUGGAGAUAUAUAAUUUCUUAGUAAUAAAGGAAGCUGUGCAGUUGCCAUGAAAAUAUGCCCUCCAGCUUAUAAAGAAUGACUUAACUGAAUAUUUGAGUUGUUGUACCGAGGAAUCAG